rnacentral:misc_RNA from 1 species
CCAUUUCCUUCUCUUUAUCAUGCCUGUCCAUAGCCAUAGAUAUAAGUUUCUUUACAAAAUAAUAGUUAUAACCAGGCAUUCCAAGUUCACUCAAUUCAUCGGCAGUGGAGACAAUAUCAUCAGUUGCAAAGUAUUCCUCUACUAUUAUUGUUGUCUUCUUCUUGUACUCCUCAAAAUCUACUGUCAAUUUUCUCCCAGUUCCAUGAUCACAUUCCUCAUUGCAAUCAUACUUUGGGUCACUGGGAUCAACAGAAUAAUUGUAUUCUGUAUCAAGAAGUCCUCCCCAAGUACCUUCACCAUCUAUUUUAGAGCACCCAUCUCUAUCAUACUUGAGUAGGCUCCCCUUGCUUGGACUUCCUUUGCUAGUGCCAAGUUUGCCAUGUGCCUUUGGAGACCUGGGUGAGUUUGGGGGCCUUGGUGACUUUGGCCAUUUUGGAGACUUCGUAUUCACUGAGAUUUGCAAUGGAGAAACAGAUAAUGGUUCUGCACUUUCUGAAGCGGAUCGUGCAAGAUCUUGGUUUUUGUCUGAUAAAAAACUAUCACCGAACUCCAUCACCCUGAAAUUUUACUCAGCAAACCAAUCACUGGUUCAGAGAGGCAAAUUUGUAGACCAUCAAUCUGUGUAAACUAACUAAAUACUGAGUCAGCAACUCUGGCCAGUGGAAUCCUCUGUCGCUCAUCACAUAUUUUCUUGAAUCAGUAGAAGUAGUAAACCCUUGAAUUUUUUUAUCCACUUGCUCCAGUUCAAUAAGAACCUCGAAACAGAACACCCAGAGAGGAGGUCGCCAGAGCGACAGUGCGCGCCGGCGAUCGGAAAAUGGUAAAACGUAGGUUGCCGGAUUUAGG